GGCAUCUAAAUGACUUUCUAUGGUUCAAGUUGAAGACACCACAAAUUUGAUAGGAAGGCCAAAGGGAAUUUAGUGGAGGUUUUGAAACAUGAUGAUGCCAUAUUACCUUUUGUCUUUUGGUUAGAGUAGGGGUCAAGAGAGAGCGGAGGAUACCACCCUGCGAUUUUAGCCCAAGUUGGGGUUAGAGUGAUGAUGCCUUCAUCCCUCUCUAUGGAUGCACCUAAUUUGAUAUCUUACUGGGCACAUUACUAAUGGCAUAAGCACAAGUGUAAUGAGAGUCAGCUGAUCAUUGACAUAGCUUUUGUCUAGCUGAAGAGUAGUUUUCCUUUUCUUAACAUGCCUUUAUUUGAAUGCCUUUCUACUUGAAGUUUCUGCUUUUUAUUUGCUUUUGAGAAGCCUUGAGUAGAGUUAGAUAAUGCAGUUGCUUCAAAUUUAGUGAUGGCAUUGACUUGACAUGUGAUUAUCUCUGUCCAACAUUUAGUUGAUCUAUUCUAAAAUUCUUUAUUCACCUUUGUCUUUAAAUAUCAGAGCAGAUUGAAGAUGUUACUCUUUACUUUGAUGCUGGAUCUACAGAAAGUUUCCAAUUUAUGGGGGCAUUUCAUGCGUUGCUGGACCUUGGAGUAUGUGCCAUUUGUAGUUUCUCUUGAUACAGUAAGCUAAUGGUGUCAUGUGUCUCCUGACAUGUCUUUUAUUGCUUCUUUCAACCUGAUAUGGAUAAGUUGAAUAACUUCACAUGUGAACAUAAUUCAUAAAUAGAUAUGUCUGUAUCAAUAUAUGUGUGCCAGAUAUGGUAGCAAACCAUCUUAGGGAUUACCCAGUUUGUUGCUCACAUCUCAAGCAUGUUAUAAUUUGCAUUUGCUUCAACUCUAGGUUAUUGAUUGGAACUCAAUUUGAUGCUGCAAGGAAAAUAGUGUUCAUCUCAUCUCAUCAUAGGUUUAGGACCGUGAAGAGAUCAAACAAGAGGCGGUUCCAAAACUACUACAUGAAUCUUCAGAGAACGAGAGUAUAGUAAAGUUGAGCAUAGAUAAUUUAUAUAGCUUUUACACAAAAGCAUAGAUUAUAUGUUCAAUUAAUGGCUAAAUCAUUAUCAAAAUUAUCAAAUGCAUACAUCUAACUGUUACUGAUAAAAUUUAACAUAAAAAAAAUUGCAGACAUCUAACUCUUGCUUUGAGCAUGAGGUGACGGUGUUAUUUCUUUUUCUUACCAUUAUCCUGAUUUAAAAAAAAUAUUGACGUACAUAAGCAGUUGUGCCAUGAAUUAGUUUGCUUCUUUUAAUCCCCCACCCCCCCGUUAUGCUUUAUAAUUGAUUGACUAAGAUCUUCAACAUAUUUUGGGUAGAAACAUUUUUGUAAUAAUUGAUUCUUAUAUUUUAGUUUAGUGAUUAUAAAAUAUAAUUAAAAAAUUGUGAAAACUUCAUUUAAUAGUUCUUAUGUUAUAAAAUGAAAACAAAGCUUUUAUGAAAUGCUCGAAAACUCUCCAAAAAUGGUAAAUAAUGUUAGCUUCUGUAUAAAAUAAUCGAAGAUCAAUUGCAUGUUCUAGUUAAAAUUAUACAUUCUCCAACUUUUUAUUUGCAUACACAUCUCACUAUAUUUUAAAUUGCAUAAUACAUUAUAUUUCCUUGAAAACAAUUUUAAAAAAUUUACAACACUUUUAAAUAACAAAUAUGGACUGCCUAACUUAUGGUAUAUAUAUUGCAAUAUAUCAAUUAUAUUUCAUCACUUGGUGUUUAUGGUUCAAUAGAAACGAGGUUCAGCUGGGUGAGGCAAGGCAGCAAGGCUCAUCCAUAGUGCAGAAAGCUUGUUUCCUCUUGGACGAGUUCCAAACGACAAAUUUCAAGCUGAAACCGGUUGUGGACAGAGAUGAAACCCGGUGGACACCACCGAAACCUCCAUGGUUUAAGCUUAAUUUCAAUGGGGCAACCUUCACGGCUUCUCAAUCUUCUGGCAUCGGGAUAGUCAUUCGGAAAGUGCUGGCAGAGUGGAGGCAGCUUUGAGUAAAUCUAUACCUUAUCCACUGGGUUCUUUAGAGAUUGAAGCCAAAGCCUUAGAGGAGGGUGUGUCUUUUGCAUGGGAUGUAGGCGUCCGAGAGGUGAUCUUUGAAUGCGACUCACAGAUUGUUGCUGAGACUGUAAAUGAAUCAUGUGACCCACCAGUAGCUAUGCGCAAUAUUGUUGAGGGGAUUCAACAUAAGCUUAAGGAAUUCAGGGGAGUACAAGCCUCUCAUGUGUUAUGUUGGAAAAGAAAAUAAUGCCGUGGGCAAAAAGAGAGAUUUAUGUACCUGAACUUGUUUGCAAAUAAAUACAUUUCAGCCCCCCCAAGGCCUCCAUUGGAUA